rnacentral:rRNA from 1 species
AAAUUGAAGAGUUUGAUCAUGGCUCAGAUUGAACGCUGGCGGCAGGCCUAACACAUGCAAGUCGAACGGUAGCACAGAGAGCUUGCUCUCGGGUGACGAGUGGCGGACGGGUGAGUAAUGUCUGGGAAACUGCCCGAUGGAGGGGGAUAACUACUGGAAACGGUAGCUAAUACCGCAUAACGUCGCAAGACCAAAGUGGGGGACCUUCGGGCCUCACACCAUCGGAUGUGCCCAGAUGGGAUUAGCUAGUAGGUGGGGUAACGGCUCACCUAGGCGACGAUCCCUAGCUGGUCUGAGAGGAUGACCAGCCACACUGGAACUGAGACACGGUCCAGACUCCUACGGGAGGCAGCAGUGGGGAAUAUUGCACAAUGGGCGCAAGCCUGAUGCAGCCAUGCCGCGUGUAUGAAGAAGGCCUUCGGGUUGUAAAGUACUUUCAGCGAGGAGGA